AAGAGCAGUUUUCUGCAAAGGUCUGUCUUGUCAUAUCUACUUACGAUUGUCGGAAAUCGGUUUCUUGGUCAAUUUUAACAGCUGAAUCCAGAACAAAAGUAAUGGGUUAUGGAAGACGAAACACUGGAAAUACCAGGAGAUAUGGAUAUUUCCGAUGUUCGAAAUGUAAUGCUACUUGGGAGAGUGCCCACGUAUACCUGAUACCAAAUGGAGACAUGACCAGCCAGUUCUUUGGCCAGGAUUGUCGAAAAUGUGGCCAGUCUUGCCAACCUUUCAGAGUGGAGAAACUCCGUUCAUCAAGACACGGCCCGUACGACCGCACGUCCGAAAGGCCGCAUCCAAGAGACCUUUGUCACCGCUGUAAAACAGGCCGACUCUGCAAAAGUGGUUACUAAAAACGUCAUGCAUAUAGCAUGGCUUACAAAUGCCAAGAGCGUUAUUUCUGACAUACACCAACAGAGCUAAAAAUUGGAAAUUAUCAGCCAGCGUUUUGAAAAGCUGUAAAUUUCUAAAAUAUUUGCCUAGCAUAUUUAUCACAUAUACUUUCAAUAUAUUCGAUUUAGAGAACCAACAAAUAAGUUUAUACUGGGCAUUGCUUCUAUUUUGUAGUAGGCUAUAGUCUAGCUGGAUAUAGACAAAUACGAUCGUUGGAAGCUAUAUAUUGUACUUAUGAUAGUUUGUAAGUUUCUUGCUUUGGCUAUUUUAGUUUAUCAGUUGAAGCCCUCUAGCUAACACUAGAGUUACUCCUCUUACAGAAUAUGUGGCAUGGGCUAUUCUCAACUUUCGCGAAAGAACCAUGUGACCAUGUCAUAAAAUUUUAGCAAUUAUUUGGAAGUAUACUAGUACAGCCUAUAUAGGAAAGAUGAGCGACUCCAACUAAAAGGCAGACUAGGGACACUCUUACGGCGCAAUCCUUUCUAAAAUGACUGCUAUCGUCUAAGAGCAAAAAAACUUUUGUAAGACCAUAAACAACAAUCAGAUAAAUAAAUUAAAUUAAAAAGAUACAAAUAAUUAGAUCUGCAUGGAGCUAUAUGGCUUUUCAAGCUAUCUUCACACAGGAUUUUUAGCAAGUGUUUCAGAACAAGUCUGUUUGAUAGGCCCACUUUCUCCACGACAAGCCAUUUAUAUCUAUCAAUUCUAUGCUCUUUCGAAAGACCAUAUAGGUUUUUCUGAAACGUGAAAAUCGAGAGGUAAAUCCAUAUAUUAGAUAAUGAACUCUCCGCACGAGGAAAUUACCUGGCCAAAGUGGAAUUAAGUCUUCAUAAUUAUUCACAAAACUUACACAGAUACAGAGUGCCGAUUACUUAGUCUCGCAUUUCGAACGAAAUAAAAGUUACUUCAGUCAUACAUGAGGCCGAUUCCACAAAGACAUUUCUGACUUAAGUCAAAAUUUAAAACGUUGUAACAAGGUUCAGUUUUCGGCAAUGUAAGUUGAAAUUUUGACAUUUGUCAUAAGAUAAUACUGAUGGUGUGGUCCAACUUUUAACUGUUGACUUAAGUCAAAACUGGCUUUGUGGAAUCGGUCCCUGGCGUCACGGUUGCCCACAAAUAAACAAUAUCCAUACUUAAACCAGAUCUAAAACCCUAUCAAUGCAUUUGGUAAAAACUGGCUCGUAUUCAUCUUUUUCUGUGCAUUCAGUCACAGUAAGUUUAAAACAAAAACAACAUUUCCCAGCCUAUGACAGUACAGUCGCUUA